rnacentral:lncRNA from 1 species
UAAAUCAAAUCAGAAUCCCACAAAUCAAGGUUUUAAAUAGGGAAAGUUAUUUAGGUCAAGCAUCCGACAAAAGCCUAUAAAUAGGAGGCUUCAAGACGAAAGAAGGGGUCAGAGAAAAAACCUAGCACUCAGAAGAAACAGAAAACUCUCUGCAUUCUUCACCCUACUUUGGAAGAGCCACCAAGCACAACAAACACGUGCCGGUUCCUUCACCAUAGAAAACUCCCAAACACUAAACAAGCUUCGUGCUACCCGUUUGAUCAAGAUCAAGUCUCUACGACCCUUGUAUCAAACACAAAUUUUCUUUAAACACUUUGGAGAUCGAAUCAGAGGAUUCAAUACAGAGAUUGUAACCCUAAAUUUCAUUAAUACAAUAUUAUUUUGUACACGUGUUCUUGUCUCAUUUGUCGCAGGAAAUUCGUGUUUACAAAUUUGGCACGCCCAGUGGGACCAUCUCUGCCUCUCAUCUCUUUCUCCAGUUCCAAAAUCAAUCAACACACCAAAAACGAUGGCUUCCAAGAAGAUUCAAUCCGUUCCCUCGACGAGAGGCAAAAGCGUGAGCGCCUCCUUCUCAAGCGGAGAUUCUGCUGGGGUCGUCACCCGGAGCAAGGCCAAGGCGAUACCCGCAACUCAACAUGUUACUUCCAUACCGACUCAAGCCAAGGCGAAAGAUGUGAACCGAAGGCGUGAACCGGUCAUCAAUUUGGCAAGGAAGACUAUCGUCAGAGCGGAUGAGAGAAACUCUUCGAACGAAGAAAAAAGUUUUUCAUGUUCGAAGAAUUCAGGAGAAUGCUUACUCUCGCCUGUUUCAGACGUUGACUCGAGCACAGAUUCAUACCAUGGAUCCCCACUUGACGACCAACAGAAGAAGAUUGCCUCGGCGUCUGUAGGUGAGUCUUAUUCUAUGGCUAUGUAGGUCAUGGUGACGGGAGCAAUGUCUAUUGAAGAACAGCUGGCCUAUAUGAGUGAAGCGGUCACGAAACUGACGAAGAUGGUCGAAGAGAAGGAUGUGCAGAUUGCUUCUCUCAUUAACAAGUGGGAGACAAAUCAAGAUAAGGAACCUAGCCAAGACGUGCAUAAGAAAGAAUCACAUCAUGAAGCUGAAUCCAGUGAGAAAGGAUUGGGUCAUGAAACAGAGUCGGGUGAUAAGUCGCACGGAAAAGGCGACACAGCCUCGGUGGGUUCUUUAUCUAUCCAACAACUUCAGGACAUGAUCACGAACACCAUCAGGGCUCAAUAUGGUGGACCUUCUCAAGAUACAUUUAUCUAUUCCAAGCCUUACACCAAAAGGUUAGACAACCUUCGAAUGCCAACGGGCUAUCAACCUCCAAAGUUCAUGCAGUUUGAUGGAAAAGGUAACCCUAAACAACAUGUUGCCCACUUCAUCGAGAUGUGCAACAGCGCUGGCACUAACGACGAUUAUCUCGUGAAGCAAUUUGUCCGAUCACUCCGAGGCACUGCAUUCAACUGGUACAUUGACUUGGAACCUGAGUCAAUUGACAGCUGGGAACAAAUGGAGAGAGAAUUCCUCAACCGCUUCUAUAGCACUCGUCGCUCAGUUAGCAUGCUAGAGCUCACUAGCACAAAGCAGCGAAAAGACGAACUUGUUAUUGACUACAUCAAUCGUUGGCGUUCAUUAAGCCUCGACUGCAAAGAUCGAGUCUCAGAGUUAUCGGCUGUAGAGAUGUGCAUUCAAGGUAUGCAUUGGGGUCUGCUCUACAUUCUUCAAGGGAUCAAACCCCGUAGCUUUGAAGAAUUGACCACUCGUGCGCAUGACAUAGAGCUAAGUAUCGCUAAUCACGAUGGAAGAAAGGAAAUGAUGAGUGAUCAUCGAAAUGACAAGUCGUCGAGACAUGGGGCAGACUCUUUGAGGACACGCAUCUUGGAGUCAAUGACGAUCAGUGCUACUCCAAUGAAGAUUUCCACUCGAGGCAAGAAAGAUGCGAGGAAGGCCGAGUCAACUCAAGAUCAAGAACCACGACGACACACCCUAAAAGAAAUGAAGGAGAAGAAGUAUCCUUUUCCAGACUCUGACGUAGAAGGCAUGCUGGAAGACUUACUUGAGAAGAAGGUGAUUGAGUUACCUGAGUGCAAACGCCCUGAAGAGAUGAAUCAUAUUAACCACCCGAAAUACUGUAUGUACCAUCGUGUCAUCAAUCAUCCAGUGGAAAAGUGCUUCGUGUUGAAAGAUCUCAUCAUGAAGUUGGCACAACAAGGAAGAAUCGAAAUGGAUCUUGACAAGGUGGUAGAGUCUAACCAUGCUACGAUCUCAUUUGUCUUAUCUGGUUCGGCACAUUCGCCCUCACUUCAAUCACUGGGGGCAUUCUCUGAAACCCAUCAACUCAAUCCGUAUGAGUGUGUUGGGGUGAAAAGUCAAAGUAGUGUCAAUUCAUUCGAUGACAAUAAUGAAGGAUGGGCAUUGGCUACUCGGAAGCAGUUACAUAAGAGUGCACCUUUGCCAAGAACUCCUCGAUCAAAAAGGUUUGUAAGCAAAAGAAGUUCUCCUCAAUCACAUAAAAGGCAUAGAGGAAAUGAAUUAUCAAAUAUGAACAAAAUGGUUCCAAAAGAUGAACUCUUGAAACAAAGGUCGCCUAGCCCCAUCAUGCUACAUGACUUCUUCCCCAAGGGAUUCUUCAAGAAUAAUGCGUCAAGCACCUCCCGAGGUGAAAAACAUAAGGAGGAUACUUCUCAUUUCGCUUAACAUAAAUUCGACCAAACGCUCCUUCGCCAGCACGAGCCAAAACUGCAUAAGGCACCAAACGCUCCUUUGCCUGCACGAGCCAAAACUGCACAAGGCACCAAACGCUCCUUCGCCUGCACGAGCCAAAACUGCACAAGGCACCAAACGCUCCUUCGCCAGCACGAGCCAAAAUUGCAUAAGGCACCAAACGCUCCUUUGCCUGCACGAGCCAAAACUGCACAAGGCACCAAACGCUCCUUCGCCUGCACGAGCCAAAACUGCACAAGGCACCAAAUGCUCAUUCGCCUGCACGAGCCAAAACUGCAUAAGGCACCAAAAUGCUCCUUUGCCUGCAAGAGCCUAAACUGCACAAGGCACUAAUUGCUCAUUUGCCUGCACAAGUCAAAAAUGCACAAGGCACCAAACGCUCCUUCGCCUGCACGAGCCUAAACUGCACAAAGCACCAAUUGCUCCUUCGUUCGCCUGCACGAGCCUAAACUGCACAAAGCACCAAAUGCUCCUUCGUUCGCCUGCACGAGCCUAAACUGCACAAGGCACCAAAUGCUCAUUUGCCUGCACGAGCUGAAACUGCACGAUGCACCAAGUGUUCAUUCGCCUGCAAGAGCCAAAAAUGCACAAGGCACCAAAUGCUCACUCGCUUGCAUGAGCCAAAACUGCAAACUAAAAAAAAAAAAAAAAAGAAGGUCUCUUUGGGAAAGUAUCUGUGCUCGAUCAAGUUGGGCGUCCUCCAAUACGUAAAGCCUAAGCGCUUGAGUGGGUUAUCACCAAGUCAGAGAGAUGGAUCAAACCCAAGCGGUAUAGGACGUCUACGUUCUUUACUCGUCCUCCAUUUACGUAAAGCCUAAGCGCUUGAGCGGGUUAUCACCAAGUCGGAGAGAUGGAUCAAACCCAAGCGGUAUAGGACGUCUACGUUCUUCACUCGUCCUCCACUUACGUAAAGCCUAAGCGCUUGAACGGGUUAUCACCAAGUCGGAGAGAUGGAUCAAACCCAAGCGGUAUAGGACGUCUACGUUCUUCACUCGUCCUCCAUUUACGUAAAGCCUAAGCGCUUGAGCGGGUUAUCACCAAGUAGGAGAGAUGGAUCAAACCCAAGCGGUAUAGGACGUCUACGUUCUUCACUCGUCCUCCACUUACGUAAAGCCUAAGCGCUUGAACGGGUUAUCACCAAGUCGGAGAGAUGGAUCAAACCCAAGCGGUAUAGGACGUCUACGUUCUUCACUCAUCCUCCACUUACGUAAAGCCUAAGCGCUUGAGCGGGUUAUCACCAAGUCGGAGAGAUGGAUCAAACCCAAGCGGUAUAGGACGUCUACGUUCUUCACUUGUCCUCCACUGACGUAAAGCCUAAGCGCUUGAAUGGGUUAUCACCAAGUCAGAGAGAUGGAUCAAACCCAAGCGGUAUAGGACGUCUACGUUCUUCACUCAUCCUCCACUUACGUAAAGCCUACGCGCUUGAGCGGGUUAUCACCAAGUCGGAGAGAUGGAUCAAACCCAAGCGGUAUAGGACGUCUACGUUCUUCACUUUCUUUUGAAGCACCUAAAAAAAAAAAAAGAGGACGACGCAAGCACAGCAAUAGUAUGCCAAUAUUGAGUUUGAUGUUGCAUGGUGGGAGUGCACCCAAAAUAGAAGAUAAAAAAAAAAGAAAAAAAAAAGAAAAAAAAAAUAGAUGAAGAAGGAGAAGAAGACGCCGGCACAAAGAAAGAAUAACAUGCCAAGGGUAGGUUCUUGUGGCUAGAAGAAAGAAGAAAAAUAAUAAAAAAAAUUGACAAGAACAUGAUGAAACAAAGAAUGGGUUCAAGCCUACCAACAAGCAACUCUCACCACUUUGGUUGUUGAGAAUUCGGAUGAUGCAAACUUCAAAGUCGUAGACCUUCUUGCCAACAAGAGGAGUUUUUCUGCUGUUCUAUUUGGUUGAUCUCAAUAUUCAUGAACACAGUGCAAUUUAAAGAAACCAAAGACCAUCAAAGCUCCUAGUAGGGUUUCUCAUUCCUAGUUUAGGAAAGUAUGAGAUUUUGUAUCUUGCUUCCCAAGAUCUUACCAACAUUGGAUAUUAUUAAGCUUAAUAAUAUCACAAAAAAAAAAAAAAAAAAAAAGGGGAAACCAACGUUGGAAAUAGGUUAGAUAUUCUCAAUGAUAUCUACCAAAAAAAAAAAAAAAGGGAAACCAACGUUGGAAAUAGGUUAGAUAUUCUCAAUGAUAUCUACCCAAAAAAAAAAAAAAAAAAAAAAGAACACUUUAAGCUGCACCUCCUACAUGUGAAAAGGCACAUGUCUACAAUGCAUCAUGAAGUGGGGGCAAUUUGUAGACAAAGAAAUUUUGGUGCAAUAAAUUCCAUUGACAAGAAAAUAAUUAGGGUUCGGUGGAUUAAAUCGUGGGCCCCGUAAUUCGCCCAUGUGGCAUGUGACUCAUCAAAAUCGGAUUAGUUGUCAAAAAUGACACAUGGCGACAUCCGACGGAGUGCAUCGAACGGUUCAAGAUGAAGACAAAAUUAAAGGAAAGAAUCUUCUGUGAUUGACUUUGAUUUAAAUCAAAUAUUAAUCAGGUCAAUCAAUUGAAGAUAAUCUGAAUCGCCAGAUUAUGGGAAUUGAUUUAAAUCAAAUCAGAAUCCCACAAAUCAAGGUUUUAAAUAGGGAAAGUUAUUUAGGUUAAGCAUCCGACAAAAGCCUAUAAAUAGGAGGCUUCAAGACGAAAGAAGGGGUCAGAGAAAAAACCUAGCACUCAGAAGAAACAGAAAACUCUCUGCAUUCUUCACCCUACUUUGGAAGAGCCACCAAGCACAACAAACACGUGCCGGUUCCUUCACCAUAGAAAACUCCCAAACACUAAACAAGCUUCGUGCUACCCGUUUGAUCAAGAUCAAGUCUCUACGACCCUUGUAUCAAACACAAAUUUUCUUUAAACACUUUGGAGAUCGAAUCAGAGGAUUCAAUACAGAGAUUGUAACCCUAAAUUUCAUUAAUACAAUAUUAUUUUGUACACGUGUUCUU